rnacentral:rRNA from 1 species
GGGCGUUGGAAGAUUGAAGGGGGCUGCUCCUAGUACGAGAGGACCGGAGUGGACGAACCUCUGGUGUUCGGGUUGUGUCGCCAGACGCAUUGCCCGGUAGCUAAGUUCGGAAUCGAUAACCGCUGAAAGCAUCUAAGCGGGAAGCGAGCCCUGAGAUGAGUCUUCCCUGAUACUUUAAGUAUCCUAAAGGGUUGUCGGAGACUACGACGUUGAUAGGUCAGGUGUGUAAGUGCUGUGAGGCAUUGAGCUAACUGAUACUAAUUGCCCGUGAGGCUUAACCAUACAACACCCAAGGGGUUU